rnacentral:lncRNA from 1 species
CCUGAGCGAAGGGACAGAGCAGAGCGUCUGUUCUAGGACAAAUAGAAUAAACGAAUGAGUAAGAAUUUCAAGCUAGGGGAUAGCACGCUUGGUUAAGCAAGUGAUAGCUGCGCAAGGAAGAAGACGGGAGUUCGAAUCCCCAGCACCCACAUAAAAGCCAGCCUGACUACAAUUCCGUACCUGGGGAGGCAGACACAGGAAGAUCGCUGGGGCUUACUGGCCGGCCUGUCUAGCUAAUUGCAUGGAAGAUCAUUCUGAAAAGACGCAUCUCCUAUCGCGGGCUCCAUGGAAGACCAUUUCUUCUAUUUCCAUUCAGACGGAUGUGGGCACAUCCGCUCAUACUUGCAGAGAACAAGUGUCCUUUGGCCCAAUGAGGGACCACCGUGGAAGAGAACACAGAGGGAACUGAGAGCUGGAGAAGGCGCUGUUGAGGGACACCCACCGCUUCCGGGCAUGGCAUGGCUGGCUCCUGCAGUCUUGAACCCACAGCUACUGUACUAGAAGCAUGAAGGCACACUGGGACUCCCAGACUACCCAAACAACGGACCCCAGCAAGUUAGAUGUCUCCAAGAAUCUCAAGUUAGGAAACGAAAAAGCCUGGACAAACCAGAGGGGAGCCCUCCCAGGGACACCCUCCCCCCCAGCCCCACCCCCAGACUUGUUAGACUUCCUUGCAAUGGACUGGACCUGAGAGGAGGGUCAGCGGUUGGUGGGACCACACCUUGACCACAACUGCGGUUAUGAAUACUUCUUG